CCUACUACAGUUUUCUCCUCUUCCGUCAAGUGUAAUAGAGAAACUGGGAGAGCUGUGAUUACCUUCUGUGGUGCAAACUUUCUUCUUCCCAAAGGGUGAACUAGUGCACGUUGUUGCGGUUGGAACAAGAAAGUGUUGAGGAGUUAAGCAUUUGAGAUUGAGCGGCGAUGGACGUGGAUGAUGUUGAGCAGAGUUCAUGGAUUGUUUUGUCAUGAUUAAUAAUUGUUGGAUCUGUCGUGUCUUCAUACUCGGCAUUUUCCGUGUCUUGAACGCUUCCGCUAAGAGUCAUUUUCUUUAGAAUUGUUUAUUCGUGGAGAGUCUAACUCGUUUGAAAAUUGUUUACUGUCCACUCUUUAUUUACUUAGAGUUGGUAUUAUUGUUAGGAUAAUAUUAUGGCGUUUUCAAAGUUAAUUCAGUUAUUAAAAUUUUUAGUCAAA